CUCGGGAGACUCAGGCAGGCAGAGGCUGCGGUGAGCCAAGAUCGCGUCCCUGCACUCAAGCUUGGGCAACAAGAGCAAAACUCCAUCUCAAAAACAAAAAAAGCAAUACUUGUGGAUUGGUUUCGCACCAACCCUGCUUAUGGCCAAGUAGGGCCGUAGCAGUGCAGGGCUCGGUCUAUGCAUUGGUUUGUCUUCAAUGGGCAAAGCCGUCUGGAGAGGUGAGUUAAAUUCUUAAUUUGAGCCUUAAUGAGAGCUCCUCUAACCAAAUGAGCAUCCCAUCCCUAAUAUAAUAUUUUUAAGGCUAUAGGGGAAAUCAGGUAUUUAAAUAAUAAUUGCAAGUAAAGCAUGGCAUUGUUCUCUUUAACAAACAUGACAUCUGGCUUGUGUUUUCUAGAAGCAUGUCCUUAAGUCCUGAGAGUAAACUCAAGACCUAACUAUCUGUGAGACCUCACUGACGAUUUGCUACCAGAUAAAUGAGCAAUUUCACAGAUUCUUGUGGGAAAACUCAAAAGGCGCUCACUAUGAAAAGUAUCCUUCCCUCAUCGCCUAGAUAGACUACCAACCACCGACUUUAGGACGUGAACAUUCUUUCCUAGGACACCAAGACCCUCCCCAGCUGAGAGGCAGCCAUUCUCCGUGUCAUUUUCCACAGCAUGGAUUCACCAUGAGACCUGUUUGCACGUCCUGUCUGGCUAUGGGUUUAUACAUUAAGAUGGGUCAUGUCGCCCAGCACAAGCAUUGCCCCUUACGGGACCUGUGAUACUGCCCACAGAAACAGCUCUUCUGCACCGGUACCUUCUGUGCCCUUGUAACUGACACUCAUCGGACGAAUCCAUUUCAAAUUAAAGCACGUGUUUAUUUUACCUGGGAAUACACUUUAUUUUAGCUGUGUUGUUCAGUUUUAUCUUCCUGUCUGUAUCGGAUUGCCAUGUUAUAAGAUGGAUCACAGUUGAAUGGUAAAUCAGUGUCUUCAUAUAAAAUGUAGAGGUCACCUCAUUUGGGGUGAAGGAGUCCAGGUUGGCCUAGGCUGAGGGUAGUGAGACAGCAAACUCAGUUGUUGCUACGCUUUUGUGUUUACUCCUUCGCAUUCCACUGUUACGGCUUACUUUCACCAAUCAGAAACAAGCUUCCAGCAAAGGUUCCUGAUUGGUGGUCAAGAGAAAAAAUCGAGAGACCCUUAGUGUGAUUGGAAAGCUGCAGUUUUAUAUCAUUACGUGAUGCUCUUUGAGACAAUAAGUUGCUUAAGUGAGAAU